rnacentral:rRNA from 1 species
UACGUAGGGGGCAAGCGUUGUCCGGAUUUAUUGGGCGUAAAGAGCGUGUAGGCGGCCAGGUAGGUCUGCUGUGAAAACUCGAGGCUUAACCUCGAGCUGUCGGCGGAAACCAUCUGGCUAGAGUCCGGAAGAGGAGAAUGGAAUUCCCGGGGUAGCGGUGAAAUGCGCAGAUAUCGGGAAGAACACCCGUGGCGAAGGCGGUUCUCUGGGACGGUACUGACGCUGAGACGCGAAAGCGUGGGGAGCGAACAGG